rnacentral:rRNA from 1 species
UGGGGAAUCUUAGACAAUGGGGGAAACCCUGAUCUAGCCAUGCCGCGUGAGCGAUGAAGGCCUUAGGGUUGUAAAGCUCUUUCAGCUGGGAAGAUAAUGACGGUACCAGCAGGAAGAAGCCCCGGCUAACUCCGUGCCAGCAGCCGCGGUAAUACGGAGGGGGCUAGCGUUGUUCGGAAUUACUGGGCGUAAAGCGCACGUAGGCGGAUUAGUCAGUCAGAGGUGAAAUCCCAGGGCUCAACCCUGGAACUGCCUUUGAUACUGCUAGUCUUGAGGUCGAGAGAGGUGAGUGGGAAUUCCGAGUGUAGAGGUGAAAUUCGUAGAUAUUCGGAGGAACACCAGUGGCGAAGGCGGCUCACUGGCUCGAUACUGACGCUGAGGUGCGAAAGCGUGGGGAGCAAAACAGGAUUAGAUACCCUGGUAGUCCACGCCGUAAAACGAUGAAUGCCAGUCGUCGGGUUGCANGCAAUUCGGUGACACACCUAACGGGAUUUAAAGCAUUCCGCCUGGGGAGUACGGUCGCAAGAUUAAAAACUCAAAGGAAUUGACGGGGUCAUAGCUGUUU